ACGAUCAGAACCAACGGAGGUGGUGGCGACCGCAUACACUCCGACGGUCAAGUUAGCCUCAGGUGGUCGGAACAAUACCAAGGUUGUGCUAAAUAAAGGGGAGGAGAAUAUGUAUUUGCUUGUUAUGGAAAGCUAUGUUGUAAGAGUUUCAUUACCUUUGCCUCUUGCCAAACCUUGGGUAUUUAUAGGUGAGGAGAUCCGUUGGAUGUGGGAUACGUGUAUGCAUCUGACAGUUUGAGGCGUCUGCUCAUAGGCGUCAAUCAGCAGCGUCUAUAGAGUGGGUGGUUAAUUACUUCUCCCGAGUUGAGUUGACAUAAAUUUUAUACGUCACAUCAACUAGGCUCAUGGAGACGUCAAAUCAAUUGAAUCUAGAGGGCAGAAAGGAUCUUGACAUAGAUCUCUUUCUGAAAUUGACGACGGAUCCUCUAGCAGAGAAACUUCGGCUUGAACAGCGCUCCGGCUUCAGGGGCGAGGGCACCUCAAUCAGUUCAGUAGAUUGUUCGUGUCUUGUGAUGUGUUAGCAGAUGGUGGCUCCACUUCGGAUGGAUGUCGUACGCCUCAUAAGACGUGGUUGUGGAAUUUUCGAAGUGUUUCAGAUGGGGGCGUAACAGUGGUACCCCCAAGUUCAGGUAUGAAUAUUUAUAUCAAGGGUGGAUUUGUUUUCCCGAUUAGGUAUGUCCACCUUUAGAUAGGGACUGUGAUUUGUGAGGGCUUAUGGGUCGUUUUUCUAUGUUCACCGAAGCGUUGACCAUAGGCAGAUGCGCUAAAGAUUUAUUACUGAGUAAGGGGAAAACUUAUCCGAGGCCGAUGUGCUGCCAACUGGACGACGCGCUGGGAGAUAGCUAAAGCUUUGUAAAGCUUAGGAGGGAAAACAGCUCCGAGGCGAUGACCCACAUGGGGGAUCCGCAUCAGAUGCAUCUAAGCUUUGUAAAGCUGUGUGAAUAACUCAUCUACUGGUGCGUGGACCCACAAGGGAUGACGCGUUAGGAGAUGGCUAAAGCUUUGUAAAGCUUAGGAGGGAACGCAGCUUCCGAGGUGAUGACCCACAGGGGGGCCCCGCAUCAGAUGCGUCUAAACUUUGUAAAGCUGUGUGAAGAGCUCAUCUGCUAUUGGUGCGUUGACCCAUAGGGGACGACGCAUUGGGAGAUGGCUAAAGCUUUGUAAAGCUUAGGAGGGAACGCAGCUUUUGAGGUGAUGACCCACAGGGGGUUCCGCAUCAGAUACGUCUAAACUUUGUAAAGUUGCGUAAAGAGCUCAUCUGCCACUGGUGCGUUGACCCACAGGGGGACGACGCAUUGGGAGAUGGCUAAAGCUUUGUAAAGCUUAGGAGGGAACGUAGCUUCUGAAGCGAUGACCCAUAGGGGGUUUCGUAUCAGAUGCGUCUAAGCUUUAUAAAGCAGUGUGAAGAGUUCAUCUGCCACCGGUAUGUUGACCCACAGGGGACGACGCGUUGGGAGAUGGCUAAAGCUUUAUAAAACUUAGGAGGGAACGCAGCUUCCGAGGCGAUGACCCACAGGGGUGCUCCGCAUCAGAUGUGUCUAAACUUUGUAAAGCUCUGUGAAGAGAUCGAUCUGAGGUGGGCAUCUCUGACUUUAAAUGAUUAGAUAGCUAUUGCGUAUUUCCAAGUCGACAGUUGGGGACGAUGCCCAUUCCCAGAAAAGGCUGCUGCGGCCAGUUAUUGCAGACUGCUGAUGGUGAUCGAGGCAACGCGUUUUGCAUGAGCGUGAAGGUCACAGCUAGAUCUUAGAUGUAGAUCUAAUCUGGCGUUUCGUUUCAAUGGCCUAGAUUGAUGGUGCGACGGAUGGUCUAGAUUGAUUGCAUUUGAAAUCAACGGUGUGGAUGAGCUGGGACGCUCUAUAAAAGGCGAACUUGAGGGAUUUUGGAGCUUUUCACUUUUUCGAAAUCGAAAUCCCCAUACACUCUCAAAAUAUUUGUGUUUUUCGAUGAUCUUCAAGCAACUUCUGGCGAGAAAUCCUAGUUUUCGGUGACUCACGUUGCUUCUCAACCGUUUACGGCUGCUGGACAUUCCAUUUUUCAAAAGUUUCAGUGAGUAUUUGAAACUUUUCAUUUUUGAAAACGGCUUCUGAGGAUAGUGGUAGUUCGGGUACGGGGUUGGAACUAGUGAAGGUGGAUGAGCCCAUUUUGGCGACCUCCUCUGAGAUGGCCGAGGUAAUUUUUAGGGAGAGAAUAUAUGGAAGAGGCCAUAUAGCCCAGCUAUCACAUCUGUGCAUUAGGGGGCGUCGGAUUACCCUUCUCAGCUAAAGGGUGCCGGCCUGGAAAGACUUAGGGCUAAGUAUAGAAUUUCAGAUAGCGUAGAUCUGAUCCUACCAGAACCUGACGAGCGGGCCUGCUAUCCUAGGCCGGGGUGCAUGGCAAUAAGAGAGGCGAUCCUUAGGGCUGGCCUUAGGCUCCCAAUCCACCCAUUCUUCCGUAUGGUGCUUAGGUCAUACGGCCUAGCUCCUACCCAACUGAAUCGGAACUCCUAGAGCCAAAUGGUGGGCUCUUGGAUGUUGUGGAAGGAAGCGUCGUUCGGUGUGGAGAUGUCUUUUUCUGUAUUCCAGACCCUCUACAUCCCUAAGGUAGCGGCUAGGAGAGAUAAGACUAGGGGCUGGUACUACUUGACCUCAUAGGGUUCCAACACUCCAUUCGUGCUCGAUUUGUCGAGCUCCAUCAAGGAGUGGAAGAGCUCGUGGUGCUGGGCUGUCGGGAGAAAGGACACGAUGGAGGGGGACCCCCUGGCACCUCUUACGAUCCCCACAAAGUAUUCAACACUUAGUGAGUUCUGUGGCUCUGUAUCUUGUUUAUUUUUCCUCAGUUCAGUACUUAGCCGUUCUGUUUGUUUUUGAAGGUUCUCUUCCUUGGUGUGAGCUUUCCACCGACGACUUCGACAUUAUCUGCAUUAUUUAUCAGCUGCCUUCGAAAAAGAGGUCGUACCACCAGUUGAUAAGGAAAAAUGUCCACUUCGUGAUGCAUGAUUUGAUGGCUUCUCAAGGUAAAUGUCUCGAAGCGAAUUUUGUCAAUAUUUUCCAACCUCUUUACACUUGUACUAAUUUGCAUGUCCCAUUGCAGAUAAUUUUAAUAUGAAGCUGCCUCUGAGGCCAGAUUUCAAGACCAUCCAAAGGAUGAUGGCCAAGGCAAAAGCCUUGAAGACCUCCUUGUCUACAUACAAAAAGCAGAUGGAGGAUCUGGUGGAGGCCAGUAAGAGGCUCCAGUCCCCACCGAGGAGGAGGUGGAGGAAGACCCAAAUGCCAAUCUGCUGCGGAAAGGGAAGAAGCCUGCCGUUCCCUCAAAGCGCCCAACUGUGGCAAGGCCACUUUCGGCUUUGAGGCAAAAGACUAUUCCAAUCGGGGUGGUUAUCCUAGAGAAGAGGCCUGCGUCUUUCAAGGCUUCUCCAGCCCCCGCCACAUCGCCAGUCGUCGCUGUGCCCAUUGCUCAAGCGUCGGGGCAGCAAAAAAAGAAAUUGGCCCGUCCCUCGAAAGAGGUGGACUUCUUGGGCGUCAAUUCUGAGGAGCUAGUGAAGAAAGUUUUGGAGGCUUUUUCUCCAGAGGCAGCUGCGGUGGCGGUGGUCUACAAUAGAUAUUGGACUAAGGAAUGGAGAGAUCACACCACCUCCUACACUGUCGAGGAACUGGUUGUGGCCAACAGUACUUGUGUGGCCGGACCUUAAGCACUAGCAUCCAACUCAGGGCUUGGUAAAAGACCUCAAUGCAAAGAGAGAGGACCUCGCGAAGCACCUUGAGGAGGCGAUGCAUUAUGGUGAUGAAGUGAGGGGGCUCGGGCUAAGGCCGAGGAGGAAGGGAAGGGAAGGAAUGAGGCUGAGGCCCUACUGGGGGUUGCGAAGGAGGAAAUAGAGCGGCUGAAGAAGGAGCUCUAUGAAGUGGAGUGUCAGGUGGCUGCUAUGACAUGAAGAGUUGAUCAUGCAAAUGAGCACCACUGGCUCGCUACGGAGGCUCUGGAGGCCUCCAAUAAAGAAAAGACGGAGCUGAGGUAGAGAGCGGAUACCCAGGCCAAAGAAAUUACCUUUUUGAAGGAGGAGCUCAAGUCGGCAGGGGAGGUGGCUAUAUAGAACUUUAUCGACCACUUUGAAGAGCACCCCCUGUACGAUGACUUCGCCAACUUCUGGGCUUCUUGGAGUACCCAAGGGACAUUAGGUCAGCUGAAAGAGGUCCAUCCUACUCUGGACAUAUCUUCGAUUGAGGUAGAGUUUGGUGGGCCUACUGGAGGUCGACCUGAUAGGCUUGCCAAGGAUGCUCCAGAGGCCCCUGGGAGAGGAGCUGUAGAGGUCGGGGCUGCAGAUGCCCCAGUAGAGUUGGGCUAAUAUAUUUUUGUAAUGGCUUCGGCCUCUUCUGUAAUUCAAUUCUCAAUAUGAAUAAAAAAAAAUUCUGUACAAGUAUUGUCGCUUCUGUUUUUUCAUUGUGUUGAGUUAUUUACACUUAAGUAUAUGAAUGACAACCACUUAAGCACCUAUUAUCAAUAACCAAUUAAUAACAGAAGAUCGGAUCAAUUAACAUAUUGAAGAACUGAGGUAACAAUUUACUAAACGAUGUGACAAACAACUGAAGUAUCAUUACUUAAGAGGAAUUACAUCACUCUUCACUUAGGAAUUUUUAGCACUUAGUAAGAUAGGGAAGUUACAAAUGAGAUUGGAUCAUGACAUGUUAACUGGACAUCAUUAAGAUCAGAUCGGAACACAAGCUUAUUAUUGAUAGUACUUUCUCAAACGUUCGAUUUUCCAUUGAUGAGGCAGUACUUUCCUUGCCAUGUCUUCAAUUUCAAAAGUGGCAGGUCGGUAUUCCCUGUGGAUGCGGUAAGGACCCUCCCAGUUCGGUCCUAGCACUCCCGACCCGGUUGGCUUUGAUGAUUGAAAGACCCUUCUAAGGACGAGGUCCCCCAGACGAAGAGUCCGAUUUCUGACCCUGGAGUUAUAAUAGCGGGUCAUCUUUCUAUGAUACUUUGCUAAGUUCACCUGGGAGGCAUCCCUUCUUUCUUCAAGGAGGUGAAGUUUCCUCAUUUGAGCCUCAUCGUUACUGAUUUCAUUGAAGUGUACUCGGUGGUGCGAUGAGACUCCUACUUCAAUCGGGCUCAUGGCCUUGUCUCCAUAGGUCAUGGAGAAGGGUGUCUCCUCGGUUGUAGUUCGGCUAGUUGUUCUGAUGGCCCAGAGGAUGUGGGGAAGUUCUUCUACCCAAGCCCCUUUCGAGGUAUCAAGCUUCCUUUUCAGGGUAUGCUUGAUUGUUUUGUUUAUCGCCUCAACUUGCCUAUUUUCUUGUGGGUGAUGAGGCGUCGAGAAAUCUUUCUUUAUGCCCAAUUCGUCACAUAAGUUUUACAUUUUCUUGUUGUUCGAACUGUCUCUCGUUGUCAGAUACUAAGGAGUGGGGAAUGCCAAACCUACAGAUGAUGUUCUUCCAGACGAAUUUUGUAGUAUUUGCCUCGGUGAUCUUGGCAAGAGGUUCAGCUUCGACCUACUUGGUGAAAUAGUCGAUGGUGACAAUGACAAAAGUCGCGCUUCCUCUUUCUUUUGGGAGUGGACCAAUGAAGUCGAUGCCCCAUUUGGCAAACAGCCAAGGGCUGGUCACUACAGAGAGGCUCUAAGAAGGCUGCUUUUAAAUAUUUGAGAAGUGUUGGCACUUGUCCAAUUUCUGGACAAAUUGGCAAGCAUCCAUUUUCAGGGUCGGCCAAAAGUAGCCUUGUCGGAGUACUUUGUGUGCCAGAGCAGUUCCUUCGGAGUGAUUCCCGCAAAUUCCCUCAUGGAUUUCUCUGAGUAUAUACAUAGCUUCUUCGCCUCCUGCAUAUCGGAGAAGUGGUGAGGUGAAGCCUCUUUUGUAGGGGACAUCUUCUUGUAGGAUGAAGUGUGCAACCCUCCCUUUUAACUUCCUCGCCUCGCUUCUGGAAGAUGGUAGUGAUUGGUCCUUAAGGUAGGCAAUGAUGGGCUGCAUCCAUACGGGGUGCCUUCUAUCCAUAGCACCUCUUUGCCUCUGGAAAUAGAGGGCUUCGAUAAGUGCUCAAUGAGUACAAUCUUUAGUAGCUCUGAAUCCUUAUUGCUGGCCAGUUUUGAAAAGGCGUCUGCAUGAGUAUUCUCUAGGUGUGGGACUUGAAUCAGCUCAAACCUUUCAAAGUAAGGAACUAGGUCCAGAAGCAAUUUCAAGUAUGCAACCAUGCUACUGUCUUUGGCUGCGAAAUUUCCAUUGACCUAACUCACUACUAGCUGAGAAUCGUUGCUUACUAAGAGCCUUCUGAUCUGCAUUUCUCUUGCCAGUCUAAGGCCUGCUAGAAGGGCCUCGUAUUCGAUAGCGUUGUUCGAGGCUUUGAAGCCAAACCUUAUUGCGUAAUUUAGCUUGUGGCCUUCGGGGCUCUCUAAGACGAUCCCUGCCCUGGAGCCUACCUCUCUUGAGGAUCCAUCUACGAACAAUUUCCACGUUGGGGGCUUGGCUGGUUCCAUCGUUACCUCCAUUUCUGGGGCUUUGGCAAACUUAGCCACAAAAUCUGCAAGGGCCUGGCCCUUAAUGGCAUGUCGAGGUCGGAACAGUAUGUCGAACUCACUAAGCUCGAUCACCCAUUUUAGCAGGCAUUCUGAUGCGUCCGUUCUUUGCAGCACUUGCUUUAAUGGGAAGUUGGUGAGAACUUCAAUUGAGUAGGCUUGGAAGUAUGGCCUCAGUUUCCUUGAGGCUAUGAUGAGAGCGAGUGUCAAUUUCUCCAUGUCUGGGUAGCGUGUUUUAGCUGGGAGAAGUGCUUUGCUAACAUAGUAUACCGGUAACUGGUGCUCGUUUUCUUCUCUGACUAGGACAGCUCUGAUCGCCUCGUCCGAAACCGCCAAGUAGUGGUGGCUCUUCUGGUUGAGGUUUUGACAAUAGGGGUGCUUCUCCCAAAUGCUUCUUCAGCGCUUGGAAGGCUGCUUCGCAUUCAGAAGUCUAUUGGAACUUCUUUCCUUGCUUCAGCACAUUAAAGAAGGGCAAGCUUUUAUCUGUGGCUCUGGAGAUGAAGCGACUGAGUGCUGCUAUCCGACCAUUGAGGCUUUGGACCUCCUUUGGUUUCUGAGGUGACCUCAUUUCAAGUAAGAAAAUUAUCUUCACUGGGUUCACUUCGAUCCCUCUUUGGUUUACAAUGUAUCCCAAAAACUAACCCGAAGCUACUCCAAAGGUGCACUUGAGGGGGUUCAACUUCAUUUUAUAUUUUCUAAGUAUCUGAAAGGUUUGGUCAAGGUGACUUACGUGUUCGCUGGUCUGAAGGCUUUUGACUAGCAUGUCGUCCAUGUAGACCUCCAUGGUUUUGCCAAUGAGGUCGGCAAACAUCAUGUUGACCAGCCUCUGAUAUGUAACUCCAGCAUUUUUCAAUUCGAAGGGCAUGACUUUGUAGCAGUACAAUCCCCUGUCUGUGAUGAGUGACGUAGCCUCCCCAUUAGGUCGGAACAUGGGUAUCUAGUUAUACCCUGAUUAUGCAUCUAUGAAACUCAAGAGUUCAUGUCCGGUGGUAGAAUCCACAAGUUGGUCUAUUCUUAGAAGUGGGAAGUUGUCUUUAGGGCAUGCCUUAUUUAAGUUGGUGAAGUCUAAUCAUACCCUCCACUUUCUGCUGGGCUUCUUCACCAAGACCAGGUUGGAUAUCCACUUCGGGUAGAUGGCUUCUCUGAUGAAGCGCUGCAGCUAAGUUUGUCUACUUCGUCUUUGAGUGCCUCGUAUCACUCCGGGUUGAGAGCACGCCUUUUCUGCCUAUGUGGGGGCACAAGAGGAGUUAAUGUUAAGAUUAUGGCAACUGAUCCUUGGAUCUAUUCCCACCAUGUCUUCAUGCUUCCAAGCGAAGACAUCCAAGUUCAUUUUCAAGAAGUUCACCAUUUCUUCUUUUGCUUCAGGGGACAGUGCCUUUCCUAUUCGCAGGACCUGACUGGGGUCCUCUGGGUUGGCGAAGAAGGUUUUAAGUUCUUCCAUUGGGGUCGCAUUUGGCCUGGAGUGAAUGAUCCGGGGGUCUGAUUCAUCAAGAGGGUGCCCUUCUUCAGGGGCCUCUUCCAUGUCGACGUCUUCCUCUUGUUCGAAGGUAUGCCCUUGUUCAGGGGCGUUGAUCAUUUCCACGUCUAAAUUGGGCUCACUGGCAAUUUCAGUUAUGAUCACGUUAACAGUUCGGGGCUCCGAUUUUCGCAGAGAGUUUAAGUAACACACCCUGGAGCCUAUCUAGUCACCUCGUACCGUUGCAAUCCCUUGUUCAGUUGGAAAUUUCAUACACAAGUAGUGGAUAGAGGCGACAGCCCAAAGAUCUUUCAAGGCAGGUCUUCCUAAUACUCCAUGGUAGGCCGAUCUGUGGUCGACCACCAAGAAUUUCAGGAAGUGUUGGGCCACUAGAGGAGCUGAACCCAUCUUGACGGACAGAGUUAUCCGCCCUCGUGGGACGAUGCUAUCUCCAGUAAAUCCGAACAUUGGAUCGGUCAUGGGGAUCAACCCAUGUUCAAUUUGUAUUUUGUCGAAAGUGGAACCGAAUAGAAUAUUCACUGAACUGCCCUUGUAGAAGAGCAUGCGUUUAAGCCCCUUUUUUUCCACUACAGCUAUCACAACUAAUGCAUCACAAUGGGGGUGGUGAACUCCUUCAGCAUCUUCUUGGGAGAAGGUGAUUGGGGCCAUUCUAUUGGCCACUUGGGACUCGUUGACAAUGUAGGUAAGCAUUGACGGGUCCUUGGCUUCCCUUGUGUAAUUCCUUUGGGCGUUCUAGGUGUUGCCACCGAUGUGUGGUCCCCCAAUGAUCAUGUCGAUCUCCCUGAUGGUUUGGCCUCCUGAAAAUGGGGCUGGAUCUCUCUGUCUGGACCCUCCUCGGUCUCUUGAUUCUCUUCCCCAGGACGAUCGCUCUCUAGGCCUUCUUCCUUCCCUGUUCGAGGAGGUGGAUUUACAAGGAUAUUCGUUCCUCCUGGAGGAAUGUGGGUCGCUUCGAUCCGGCCAUCGAUUAGCAUCUCUGCAUUCACUGGUGUCAUGCCCAUAGAGUUGGUGGAAAGUGCAAAACCUUGCCCCUUCCAAGGGCCUGUUUGAUCGCUUUUUCUUCUUCUAGCCCUACUUUGCCAGGGAGAUUCUCGUAGGCCAACAUUGGGACUGCAUUUAGCAUGGCAGAAGCCAGUGCCUGUCCAGAGGUGGGAGCUAUUGUAUGACCUGCUUGAGUCCAUUGCUGAGUAACAAGGUGUGCUGCGGGUCCUCGACCUACCUGCCUCUGAGGCGGAGGGAGUCCCUGCGCUGCACGGUUUCUGUGAUCAAUCAUCUCUUCACUGACUAUCUCAACUCUCAUCAUUUAUACCAGCUCGUCAUAAGUGGUAGGAUUUUUGCUACGCACAUCCCUCCAGAACAAAGUGUUCAUGUUGAGGCCACCCUUCAAGGCUGAAAGGGCUUCUUUGUCAAUGACUUGCUCGUAAUACGUGAUUUUGUCUGUGAAUUUGGCGAGAUAGCUUUUCAGCGUCUCUCCAAGGGACUGCCUCAUAUCUUGCAGGUGUUGCACCGGGGCCUCUCAUUCUCUGCGUGAGAGGUACUGGUUCAAAAAUGCAUUCUUCAGAUCCGACCAACUCCUAAUGCUCAAGAAGGGAAGUCUGAUGUACCAUACUUCAAUAGCUCCACUUAAAGUUAAGUAGAAGGCUCUGCACUUCAAAGCAGACGAGGCUCCCCUGAGGCUCAUCUGUGUCAUAUACUUGGUGAGGUGCUUCUCCGAAUCCCCCUUUCCUUCAUAGUUGGGGAUCUUAGGGGGCAUGCAAUUCGCAGACAUUGGGAAACUUCGGAUUUCCCUUGAGAAAUGGAUGUUAUCAUCAUCAUCAUCAAUUUCAUAGGAUCGAUAAGACCUACCUAACCCUUCAUCAUCUUGAAUGUUCUGGGGAGGGGGUGGUGCUUCUCCUCGACUCUCCCAAUCGACUAAGCCCCUUCUCUCCUUCCUAUUUCUAGGAGGGGGAGGUGCUUGUUCUUGCUUCUGCUCUUGCCGAGAUGAUCUUCGCACUGAGUGGACCCUAUUACUAGGGUCCUGCCCUAUUCAGUUGAAGACGCUGACUGACCUUUGUGCUUCAUAUUUCUGAUGGAAAUUGUCCCCCAAUUGUGGUUCUACUGGCUGGCUCCCUUAUACAUAGGAUGUGGCUUCAGCACCCACUCCUCUUUCGAGGGGGCGCUCUCUGUGCUGGCUCAAAUGGCCUCGGGAACGGGAUGCCGAGGCUUCCUGAACUGGAUAUGAUUCCUGGGGCAUUUGAGAGCUCUGGUGACCUCGGGCUCGCAUGAGAAGUUCAUGCAUCGCCAUAAUCUGGGCUACGAUGUCUCUCAUGCCCGCAACUAUUUGAGUCAUUCCUUCGGUGAGCAUAGCUGUUCUUUCACCUCGGCGACACCGGUGAUGGGGUCUUUAGUGGGUAACAUUGUUACGGAGCACCUCUUCUUCAGAGGCCUCUCUCAUACGAUUCUCGUCUUCAUGGCUGUAACUCAUUUUAUUUCCUUUUUCAAGGGUGAUAAGAACUCGGAUUAUAACUCGACUUUGUUCUUAUUCAAGAACGUGCCCUUUUUAGGAUAAGUCACUGGUCUUCCGGUGGUUUCUCCGGUGAAGAAUGCAGAACUUUGGAUGGGAAGAGUUUCCCACAGACGGCACCAAUCUGUUGACCUCGCAAAUUAGACCCUUCACUUGGCCAAUCGAUAGCUACUCCACGUAUUCCUCCCUGCACACAGUCAGCGCACGGUCAGAUGCACACGGACAAAACCAACGGGGGUGGCGGCGGCCGCAUACACUCCGACGGUCAAGUUAAUUUCAGGUGGUCGGAACAAUACCAGGGUUGUGCUAAAUAAAGAGGAGGAGAAUAUGUAUUUGCUUGUUAUGGAAAGUUAUGUUGUAAGAGUUUCAUUACUUUUGCCUCUUGCCAAAUCUUGGAUAUUUAUAGGUGAGGACAUCCGUUGGAUGUGGAACACGUGUAUGCAU
rnacentral:lncRNA from 1 species